GUCCUAGCCCUAAACGAUGCUCAUUAGGUGUGGGAGGUAUCGACCCCUUCCGCGCCGUAGCUAACGCAUUAAAUGAGCCGCCUGGGGAGUACGGCCGCAAGGUUGAAACUCAAAGGAAUUGACGGGGGCCCGCACAAGCGGUGGAGCAUGUGGUUUAAUUCGACGCAACGCGAAGAACCUUACCUGGGCUUGAACUACUGGUAGUAAGUCUUUGGAAACAUGGACUGACCCGCAAGGGAGCCAGCAGAGGUGCUGCAUGGUUGUCGU
rnacentral:rRNA from 1 species